GAACGCACAUUGCGCCCUCUGGCAUUCCGGGGGGCAUGCCCGUUCGAGCGUCAUUAACACCCAUCAAGCCUGGCUUGGUAUUGGGCGACGGGACCUCCCCGAGCCCCGAUUUCGCCGGCUGGACGAUUCCGAUCUCUCAAGCGUUUGUGUAAAAUCUCGGUUGUGAGACGUUCGCCCGGGCCGUUAAACCCUUAAUCAAUCAAGUUGACCUCGGAUCGGGUAGGAAUACCCGCUGAACUUAAG
rnacentral:misc_RNA from 1 species